rnacentral:rRNA from 1 species
UACGUAGGGGGCUAGCGUUGUCCGGAAUCAUUGGGCGUAAAGAGCGUGUAGGCGGCCCGGUAAGUCCGCUGUAAAAGUCAAAGGCUCAACCUUUGAAUGUCAGUGGAUACUGCCGGGCUAGAGUCCGGAAGAGGCGAGUGGAACUCCUGGUGUAGCGGUGGAAUGCGCAGAUAUCAGGAAGAACACCGGUGGCGAAGGCGGUUCUCUGGGCAUGUCCUGACGCUGAGGAGCGAAAGUGUGGGGAGCGAACAGG